rnacentral:rRNA from 1 species
CGCUGGCGGCAGGCCUAACACAUGCAAGUCGAGCGAGGGAGCAAUCCCUAGCGGCGGACGGGUGAGUAACGCGUGGGAACGUGCCCCUUGGUACGGAAUAGCCCCGGGAAACUGGGAGUAAUACCGUAUGUGGUCGAGAGACGAAAAGAUUUAUCGCCAAGGGAUCGGCCCGCGUUGGAUUAGGUAGUUGGUGGGGUAAUGGCCUACCAAGCCGACGAUCCAUAGCUGGUUUGAGAGGAUGAUCAGCCACACUGGGACUGAGACACGGCCCAGACUCCUACGGGAGGCAGCAGUGGGGAAUCUUAGACAAUGGGCGCAAGCCUGAUCUAGCCAUGCCGCGUGAGCGAUGAAGGCCUUAGGGUUGUAAAGCUCUUUCGUGGGGGAAGAUAAUGACUAGUACCCCAAGAAGAAGCCCCCGGCUAACUCCGUGCCAGCAGCCGCGGUAAUACGGAGGGGGG